GGUGGUUCUUGGGUGAUGCACCCCAGAAUUGGGCUCCCUUAUCUCUGGUUCCGGGUGCGACACUUGAGAAUUGCA
rfam:Myotis brandtii contig227412, whole genome shotgun sequence.